GAGUGAAGAGGGAAGAGCUCAUCAUUGGAAUCUGGCAGUGUUGCACUGUCCGAGUUGUAGAUGAGGAGUAGUCCGUCUGGACUGCAUGGCGUCCAAGUACAAUAGGCCGUCAGUGGGACAUCAUAGAGGGUGACAAUCCCGUCCUUGACGCCAAUGUGCAAGUCUAUUACGAUGGCUAUCUCAGAGAGUCGAGCAGUUUGGGAUUUGCUGCUUAAACAUGGGAGGUAGAUUCCUUCUAAAGCUAAAUACAGGCGAGAGACCGAUAGAGAACAAGUACCGCAAGGGAAAGAUGAAAUAGCACUCUGUGAAGGGAGUCAAAAGGCGUGAAAUUGUUGCGAGAGAAGCGAUUCAAGUCAGCGUAGCUAGGCCCAUCAAGCGUCUUCGCUUUGGACUAGCUUUGCCAGCGGUCUUGUCCCUUCAAGAGACUUGACUUGUAAUAUGUCCAGCCUGGCGUGCACAGGCAGCCCCUUCUGGGGGCCAGUGGCAUGGCUGGUGGAAUGGCUUGCAAUCGACCCGUCUUGAAACACGGACCAAGGAGUCUAACAUGUAUGCGAGUAUAAGGGUGGCAAACCCGUAUGCGCAAUGAAAGUGAUUUUCGGUGAUUGAGAAUGGCCUGAUGACCAGACAAGCAAUAUAUGUCCCUCGUACGGCCAUUGCCCAAGUUCCGUGGUAGAUCCCACGAACAUGGAGUUGGAGCAUACAUGCUAGGACCCGAAAGAUGGUGAACUAUGCCUGGACAAAGCGAAGCCAAAGGAAACUCUGGUGGAGGCUUGUAGCGAUUCUGACGUGCAAAUCGAUCGUCUGAUCUGGGUAUAGGGGCGAAAGACUAAUC
rnacentral:rRNA from 1 species